CACUCUGGAGAGUCUUUGAUACCGCAUAACCGUAUUCAAAGCGCCGAAGGUGUACGGCAGCCAUACAUGCUGCCAAUCUCUCAGGCAAAAGGACAGAGCA
rnacentral:ncRNA from 1 species